rnacentral:miRNA from 1 species
CAAUCCAUACCAAGAUUUUCUAU